GGAGCAACAGAGUACAUGGUGGCUUAGUUUGCAUGAUUUAACAGCUCUUCAGAAUUCUGAUGGUCCGCGGGAAGUCUUGUUUCAUAUUCAGAAAUCACCAAAGAAUAUUAUAAUUUGAAGAAAGAUUACGUAAAGAAUGAUCUCACCUAGGGGAACCUUUUAGUGUAAAAUAAAUUUAGUGGGGUGCUUGUCUUGGAAUGUAUGUGCCAA